AUCGCUUCUCGGCCUUUUGGCUAAGAUCAAGUGUAGUAUCUGUUCUUAUCAGUUUUAUUGGUGGACCAGACACCACCGAUGUGAGACUGGUGAAGACAGUGCUGCAUGGAGGGGGCAGAUGUACCGGGGCUGGUUCUUGGCGGAAUCAGCUCAACGGCUGCCCUGAUGUGAGUGGUGACCCCAA